rnacentral:rRNA from 1 species
AUGAGGGUAGCUGUGGUGGGCGGCGGGGUGAGCGGGCUGGCGGCGGCGCAUGAGCUGCUCGCCGCCAGCAGAGACGACGUGCGUGUGACCCUGUACGAGCAGGAGGAGAGCCUCGGGGGGCAUGCCAGGACGGUGGCCGUCGGCGCCGGCGACGGCACCGGCGGGUGCGUCCAGCUCGACCUCGGCUUCAUGAGCUUUAACCAGGUAACAUAUUCCCACAUGAUGGAAUGGUUAGUAGGGCUCGGGGUGGAGAUGGAGAGAUCGGACAUGUCUUUAUCAGUGAGUACACAAUCAGACGGUGGUGGAGGAGGGUGUGAGUGGGGCAAUGGCAACGGUAUCUCGAGCCUCUUGGCACAAAAAGCCAACAUACUGAAAAUCAGUUUUUGGCGCAUGGUCCGUGACAUAUUCGAGUUCAAGAACGAUGCUUUGACGUACCUGGAGGACCAAGAGCAUAACCCUGAUCUGGACCGUACUGAGACAUUGGGGCAAUUCAUUCAGUCGCAAGGAUAUUCCCUACUAUUCCAAGAGGCUUAUCUUAUUCCAGUCUGUGCAGGCCUGUGGUCAUCUUCAUCAGAAGGUGUUUUGAGCUUGUCUGCUUUCUUCGUGCUAUCAUUUUUCCGCAACCAUGACCUUCUUCAGCUGUUUCGUUACCCUCAGUUGCCCACUGUUAAGGCUCGUUCGCACUCCUUUGUAGACAAGGUAAAAGGAGCUUUGGAAAGCAUGGGAUGUCGAAUUAAAACCAGCUGUCGGGUCAAAUCAGUUUCAAGUUUUGGUGGAGCUGGCUACAGAGUCUUGGAGAAUGAUGGUUCAGAGGAAACAUACGACAGUGUCAUCCUUGGGAUCCAUGCACCUAAUGCUCUCAAAGUACUAGGAGCUGAAGCUACACAUGACGAAUUGAAAAUUCUAGGUGCUUGUCAGUGUGUCCAAAGGGAUAUAUACCUCCACCGCGAUCAAAAUUUGAUGCCCCGGAAUUCGUCGGCAUGGAGCGGCUGGAAUUUCCUGGGGACAACUAGCAGGGGUUUUUCUUUUACAUACUGGCUAAACCAUAUUCAGAAAAUUGAAUCUGUCAGGCCUUUCCUGGUGACACUCAAUCCCCCUUGUGUUCCGGAUCAUGUACUGCUUAAAUGGUCUACAAGCCUUCCUGUUCUGUCUGUGGCUGCGGCAAAGGCUUAUCUUCAGCUUGAUCAGAUCCAGGGAAAGAGAGGAAUAUGGUUCUGCGGGGCAUACCAAAGUCACGGCUUCCAUGAAGACGGAUUGAAGGCUGGGAAAGCAGCAGCUCAAGGUUUGCUUGGAAAGAAGUGUGAGCUUCUGCUAAACCCAAAGCAGAUGAUUCCAUCAUGGACCGAGGCUGGGGCACGCCUUCUAGUUGCAAGAUUUUUCAACCAAUAUAUAUCCAUCGGCAACUUGAUAUUUGUUGAAGAGGGAGGAAGUGUGUUCAGCUUCGGUAAAGCUUGUGACAAAUGCAGUGUAAAAUCUGUCAUGCGAGUUCAUGACCCCUUGUUCUAUUGGAAGGUUGCAACAGAAGGAAACCUUGGCUUGGCAGAAGCCUAUAUUAACGGUUGUUUCUCUUUUCUUGACAAGAGAGAAGGCCUUCUGAAUCUUCUCCUGAUACUCAUUGCUAACAGAGAUGAGCGUAGGAACCGCCGUACUACUGGAAAAAGGGGUCGGUGGACACCCUUGCAUGUAAUAGCUCGGUUGGCACAUACUAAAUACUUUUUCGGCCAAGCCUCAAGGAAGAACACUAUGACACAAAGUCGUCGAAACAUCUCUCAGCACUAUGAUCUUAGUAACGAGUUUUUCUCACUUUUUAUGGAUAAAUCGAUGACUUACUCUUGUGCAAUUUUCAAGAUGGAGAAUGAAAGCUUAGAAGCAGCCCAGGAACGUAAACUUAGCCUACUAAUCAAAAAGGCUAAAGUCGAGAGGGGACAUCAUGUUCUUGAUAUCGGUUUCGGCUGGGGAAGUUUAGCAAUACAAGUGGUUAAGCAAACUGGCUGCAAAUACACCGGAGUCACUUUGUCGGAGGAGCAGCUUAAAUAUGCCGAGGGAAAAGCAAGAGAAGCUGGCUUAGAGGACCACAUAACUUUUCUGCUGUGCGACUACCGUAAAAUACCACCGUGCAAGUAUGACGCAAUCAUAAGCAUCUGUAUGAUUGAACAUGUUGGCCAUGAAUACUUGGGCGAAUUUUUUGCCUGCUGCGAGUCUUACUUGGCUGAAGAUGGCAUAAUGGCCCUGCAGUUCAUCUCAGUUCCAGACGAACGGUAUGAGCAAUACAGAAGAAAGCCAGACUUCAUAAAAGAGUACAUAUUCCCUGGUGGUUGCCUUCCUUCUUUGUCCCGUGUAAUGUCUGCCAUGACCACAUCUUCGAGGUUCAGCAUAGAGCAUGUCGAGAAUAUUGGUCCCCAUUACUACACAACUCUCAUGUGCUGGAUGGACAACUUCGCUGCCAACAGAGAUAAAAUUUUGGCCCUGGGUUUUGAUGAGAAGUUCAUGCGUAUAUGGGAGUACUACCUCAUAUUCUCUGCGGCUUGUAUGAAGGCACGGGCACUUGGAGAUUACCAGGUUGUUUUCUCUCGCCCAGGCAACCGUCGGCUAGACCAGCCUUUGGCUAAAGCCUAA